UACAUGUGGGGCAAGCGUUGUCCGGAAUCACUGGGCGUAAAGGGCGCGUAGGUGGUGGCUUAAGCGUGCGGUGAAAGCUCGGGGCUCAACCCCGAGUCGGCCGUGCGAACUGGGCUCACUGGAGCAUAGUAGAGGCAGGUGGAAUUCCGGGUGUAGCGGUGGAAUGCGUAGAGAUCCGGAAGAACACCGGUGGCGAAGGCGGCCUGCUGGGCUAUGGCUGACACUGAGGCGCGACAGCGUGGGGAGCAAACG
rnacentral:rRNA from 1 species